rnacentral:tRNA from 1 species
GCGGGCGUAGCUUAGUGGUAAAGCUCCAGCCUUCCAAGCUGAUUACGUGAGUUCGAUUCUCAUCGCCCGCU